UGCCUGGUGGCUCAGAGGUUAAAGCAUCUGCCUGGAAUGUUGGAGACCCAGGUUCGAUCCCUAGUCGGGAAG
rnacentral:tRNA from 1 species